rnacentral:rRNA from 1 species
AACGAACGCUGGCGGCAUGCCUAACACAUGCAAGUCGAACGAGACCUUCGGGUCUAGUGGCGCACGGGUGCGUAACGCGUGGGAACCUGCCCUUAGGUUCGGAAUAACUCCCCGAAAGGGGUGCUAAUACCGGAUAAUGUCUUCGGACCAAAGAUUUAUCGCCUUUGGAUGGGCCCGCGUUGGAUUAGCUAGUUGGUAGGGUAAAAGCCUACCAAGGCGACGAUCCAUAGCUGGUCUGAGAGGAUGAUCAGCCACACUGGGACUGAGACACGGCCCAGACUCCUACGGGAGGGAGCAGUGGGGAAUAUUGGACAAUGGGCGAAAGCCUGAUCCAGCAAUGCCGGGUGAGUGAUGAAGGCCGUAGGGUUGUAAAGCUCUUUUACCCGGGAUGAUAAUGACAGUACCGGGAGAAUAAGCUCCGGCUAACUCCGUG